rnacentral:rRNA from 1 species
UGUAGUCAUAUGCUUGUCUCAAAGAUUAAGCCAUGCAUGUCUAAGUAUAAGCAAUUAUACGGCGAAACUGCGAAUGGCUCAUUAUAUAAGUUAUCGUUUAUUUGAUAGCACUUUUCUACUCGGAUAACUGUGGUAAUUCUAGAGCUAAUACGUGCUGAAAAACCCGACUUCGGAAGGGCUGUAUUUAUUAGAUUAAAAACCAAUGCCCUUCGGGGCUUCUUGGUGAUUCAUGAUAACUUCUCGAAUCGCAUGGCCUUGCGCCGGCGAUGGUUCAUUCAAAUUUCUUCCCUAUCAACUUUCGAUGCGAGGGUAUUGUCCUCGCAUGGUUACAACGGGUAACGGAGGGUUAGGGCUCGACCCCGGAGAAGGAGCCUGAGAAACGGCUACUACAUCCAAGGAAGGCAGCAGGCGCGCAAAUUACCCAAUCCCGACACGGGGAGGUAGUGACAAUAAAUACUGAUACAGGGCUCUUUUGGGUCUUGUAAUCGGAAUGAGUACAAUUUAAAUCCCUUAACGAGGAACAAUUGGAGGGCAAGUCUGGUGCCAGCAGCCGCGGUAAUUCCAGCUCCAAUAGCGUAUAUUAAAGUUGUUGUGGUUAAAAAGCUCGUAGUUGAACCUUGGGCCUGGCUACAAGGACCGCCUCACCGCGAGAUCUUUCCGUAGCCGGGUCUUUCCCACUGUGGAACCCCAUGGCCUUCACUGGUUGUGGCGGGGAAACAGGACUUUUACUUUGAAAAAAUUAGAGUGCUCCAGGCAGGCCUAUGCUCGAAUACAUUAGCAUGGAAUAAUAAAAUAGGACGCGUGGUUCUAUUUUGUUGGUUUCUAGGACCGCCGUAAUGAUUAAUAGGGACAGUCGGGGGCAUCAGUAUUCAAUUGUCAGAGGUGAAAUUCUUGGAUCUAUUGAAGACUAACUACUGCGAAAGCAUUUGCCAAGGAUGUUUUCAUUGAUAAGGAACGAAAGUUAGGGGAUCGAAGACGAUCAGAUACCGUCGUAGUCUUAACUAUAAACUAUGCCGACUAGGGAUCGGACGAUGUUAUCUUUUGACUCGUUCGGCACCUUUCGAGAAAUCAAAGUGCUUGGGCUCCAGGGGGAGUAUGGUCGCAAGGCUGAAACUUAAAGAAAUUGACGGAAGGGCACCACCAGGGGUGGAACCUGCGGCUUAAUUUGACUCAACACGGGGAAACUCACCAGGUCCAGACACAGUGAGGAUUGACAGAUUGAUAGCUCUUUCUUGAUUCUGUGGGUGGUGGUGCAUGGCCGUUCUUAGUUGGUGGAGUGAUUUGUCUGCUUAAUUGCGAUAACGAACGAGACCUUAACCUGCUAAAUAGCCCUUAUUGCUUCGGCAGUAAGCUGGCUUCUUAGAGGGACUAUCGGCUCAAGCCGAUGGAAGUUUGAGGCAAUAACAGGUCUGUGAUGCCCUUAGAUGUCCUGGGCCGCACGCGCGUUACACUGACAAAGCCAGCGAGUAUUUCCUUGGCCGGAAGGCCCGGGUAAUCUUGUUAAACUUUGUCGUGCUGGGGAUAGAGCAUUGCAAUUAUUGCUCUUCAACGAGGAAUCCCUAGUAAGCGCAAGUCAUCAGCUUGCGUUGAUUACGUCCCUGCCCUUUGUACACACCGCCCGUCGCUACUACCGAUUGAACGGCUCAGUGAGAUUUUCGGACUGGCCCAGAGAGGCGGGAACUGCCACUCCGGGCCGGAAAGUUACUCAAACUCGGUCGUUUAGAGGAAGUAAAAGUCGUAACAAGGUCUCCGUAGGUGAACCUGCGGAA